GAUGAACGCUGGCGGCGUGCCUAAUACAUGCAAGUCGAACGGAGAAUGUAGCAAUAUAUUCUUAGUGGCGAACGGGUGAGUAACGCGUUGGUGACCUGCCCCGAAGCGGGGGAUAACAGUCCGAAAGGAUUGCUAAUACCCCAUGUGGUCUCUUGGAUUGGAUGCCGGAUGACCAAAGGAGAAAUUCACUUCGGGAGGGGCCUGCGUCCCAUCAGCUAGUUGGUAGGGUAAUGGCCUACCAAGGCGAUGACGGGUAGGGGACCUGAGAGGGUGACCCCCCACACUGACACUGAAAUACGGGUCAGACACCUACGGGUGGCUG
rnacentral:rRNA from 1 species